rnacentral:rRNA from 1 species
UACGUAGGGGGCAAGCGUUAUCCGGAAUUACUGGGUGUAAAGGGAGCGUAGACGGUAAUGUAAGUCUGGAGUGAAAGGCGGGGGCCCAACCCCCGGACUGCUCUGGAAACUAUGUUACUAGAGUGCAGGAGAGGUAAGCGGAAUUCCUAGCGUAGCGGUGAAAUGCGUAGAUAUUAGGAGGAACACCAGUGGCGAAGGCGGCUUACUGGACUGUAACUGACGUUGAGGCUCGAAAGCGUGGGGAGCAAACAGG